rnacentral:rRNA from 1 species
UACUCGAGUGGCGAACGGGUGAGUAACACGUGGGUGAUCUGCCCUGCACUUCGGGAUAAGCUUGGGAAACUGGGUCUAAUACAGGAUAGGAACCAUCUUUAGUGUGGUGGUUGGAAAGUUUUUUCGGUGUAGGAUGAGCUCGCGGCCUAUCAGCUUGUUGGUGGGGUAAUGGCCUACCAAGGCGGCGACGGGUAGCCGGCCUGAGAGGGUGUACGGCCACAUUGGGACUGAGAUACGGCCCAG